GCCAGUGUGGCAUAGUGGUUUGAGUGUUGGACUAUAACUGAAGACCAGGGUUCAAUUCCCAUUUGGCC
rnacentral:tRNA from 1 species